GGAAAAAAAUUUUGCUAAAAUAUAACCACUGGUUAUCUCUGGAAGGGAGGAGUUCAGAUAGUUUGUUUUUUGUUUUUGUUUUGUCAUUUUAGGGCCACACCCCUAACAUAUGAAGGUUCCUGGGCUAGGGGUUGAAUUGGAGCUGGAGCCACUAGCCUACACCACAGCCACAGCAACGAGGGAUCCAAGCCGCAUCUGUGACCUACACCACAGCUCAUGGCAAUGCUGGAUCCUUAACCCACUGAGCAAGGCCAGGGAUCGAACCUGUGUCCUCUUGGAUACUAGUCAGAUUCCUUUCCCCUGAGCCACGAGGGGAACUCCCUCAAGUAGUUCUUAAUUUUCUUUGUAUUUUUCUGUAUUUGCCAGAAUUUGAGGAAUGAACAGUUAUUAUUUUCUAAUAAGAAAAAGGAGUAAGAUUUUUAAAAAAGCUGACAUCACAAAAUAGUGUGGCCUGGAGUAAAGAAUGCUUGGAUUCAGAUACUGGCUCUACCAUUCUAGAGCCUUGUGACCUUGGGGCGGGGGCAGGGGGAGCUGCUUUACUUUUCGCAUAGGAUUCUUUUGAAGAUUAAAUUAGGUAUGACAUAUGUAGGCUAGUUUUUAUAAUGUCUGUAAUGCAUUUGGUGCUUAAUAAACAUUAAUUUCCUUCCUUCUUGUUUUUCUCAUUAAUGACUAUUAUAAUAAACUCUUCCAAACAGAUAGAAAAUACCAUAAAACUAAUAAGAAAAACACAAUUAAAUACUUAGACAGUUGAACACUUGUGGCGUGGUAGUUUCAGAACUAAUUCUGCUACAGGAUAGAAAGUGAGAAUAUUCAUUAGAGCAAAACAAAGAGGUGAGGUAUUUCACUUCUGUUGAUAGGAAGAGGCAGCUAUAAAUCCUCAGUGUUGUUAGUCAGCAAUAACAUUGUGUCCUAAGUAGAGCUUAAAACAUUCUCCACAGGUUCAAUCAGAAUAGUUUUUUGAAGCUGUGUUGUAGAUAAUUUGCUGCUUUUAAUUCAUCAUGGCUGUCAAUAUCAAGAAAUAAAAGUAGUCAGGACUUGAGAAUAAUAAAUCUCAUAUUAGUAAAUCAACAUGUAAAAUGAGAUGCCUUCAUUAAUUUCAGAGGUUAUAUUUCAGUGACAUAAGCUAGUUAGGCAAAAUAGGCACCGACAUAAAAUUCUCAAAGGAUUUAACAGUUGUAUUCUUCUUACAUGCUUGUUAGAUGUACAAUAGAAAACGUAUUUGCUUUCCCCUGUUUUGCCAAGGAAGUGGCACAGACUUAAAGAGGAAGAUUAAUUGAGAUGGGCCAGUGCAGUGGCAAAGUAGGAUCUCAUCCUAGAUACACUGGACUUCUGAAGCACCAACAUUGCUGUCUCUGGUAUUGCUGCAUCUGAUGUCUUCAUAAAAGGAAACAAUUUUUUUUUCUUCUUUUAUGGCUGCACUUGUGGCAUAUGGAUGUUCCUGAACUAGGGGUCAAUUUGGAGCUGCAGUUGCAGGCCUACGCCACAGCCACAGCAACACCAGAUCCCAGCUGCAUUUGCAACCUACUCUUGCAGCUUUUAACAAUGCCGGAUCCUUAACCCACUGAUCGAGGUGAGGGAUUAAAACCUCAUCCUCACGGGUAUUAUGUUGGUUUCUUAACCCACUCAGCCACAGCAGAAACCCCAAGAAAUAGUUUUUACAGACACUAAUUCAAAAAGAUAUAUGCACCCCCGUGUUCAUAACAGCGUUCUGUUUAAUAGCCGAGAUAUAGAAGCAACCCAAGUGUCCAUCAAUAGGUGAAUGGCGAGUUUCUGCUGUGGUGCAGUGGGUUAAGAGUCCAGCUGUAGCCACUUGGGUUGCUGUGGAGAUUCAGAUUCGACCCCUGGCCCAGCACAGUUGGUUAAAAAGAUCGGGCAUUGCUGCAGCUGUGGCAUGGGUCACAGCUAUGACUUGGAUUCAGUUCCUGGCCUAGGAACUUCCAUAUGCCGUGGGUGUGGCCAUAAAAAACAACAACAAAAAAACCCCCCAAAUGAAUGGACAAAGAGAAGCUGUACUGUAUGCAGUGGAUAUAUACAGCCUAUAUAUAUGCCAUGGAAUACUACCCAGCCAUAAAAAAGAAUGAAAUGAUGCUGUUUGCAACAACCGGGAUGGACCUAGAGAAUAUUACACUCAUGAUUUUUUUUGUCUCUCAAGAGCGUCUUUAACCUUGCAGUUGUUUGACUCAUUAUAGGUUACCUAGGGAAUUUUGUGCUAUAUUUAAUGAUUUUUAGAAUGAUUCUCUUGUUUGACUCUGUCCCACGCCCCCUUUUUUUUUCUUUUCAGGGCUGCACCCGUGGCAUAGGGGAGUUCCCAGGCUAGGGGUUUAACUGGAGCUGUAGCUGCCGACCUACGCCACAGCCACACCACCAGAUCUGAGCUGUGUCUGCAGCCUACACCACAGCUCACAGCAACGCUGGACCCUUAACCCACUGAGUGAGGCCAGGGAUCGAAUCUGCAACCUCAUGGAUAUUAGUCUGGUUUGUAACCCUCUGAGUCACAGUGGGAACUCCUGACUCUGUCCCUUAUCUUAAUAGAGUCCUAUUAAUUUCCUUACCUAACUCAGUGUACUGUCCUCCACAUCAUUUGUUGUCAGAGCUGCUAAGGAACUGACAGAGAAAGUGGACUCCAGACUCCAGGACAGCAGAAACCAUGUCAGCUUUAUCCAGUAUAGACUGUGUCUUGCACAGCAGCUGGUAUGCAGUAGGCACACAGUAAAGCAGUCCAUGAGGGUGUGUAUAAGCAUAGAUAGAGCAGAAGAGACCUUGGGGUCAUAGUUGACUAGAGCCUGAGUCAUCAGCAUAUUGCUGGGGGGAGUGAGGCACAAGAAGAGGAGAGGGAAGAUUCAGCCAGGUUUUUGGAGGUGUGUGGAGAAACGAGGAAUAGUAGUAUUUUUGAAGAUUUAUAAUCUAGGCACUGUGCUAUCGGGUUUAUAUUUUGCAUCUUAUUUAAUCUGUUGAGUAUUGUGGACCAAAAAAUGUUGCCUGCCAUUCCAGUAAACAGUGAAUGUUGCCUCCAUAAGCCUCUGCAGCCUCCCUGAUGAUGUGCUCCAAGGGCAAUUCCAGAUGGAGAAAAACAGAAUUAAGAAAUUAUUUCUAUGAGCCCAGACUCUGGCACCUUCCAUUACAAAGAAAAGCACUAAAAUCAUCAACUUUUGAGACGUCUGUUUUUGUGUGAUUAGCAGUAAUCUUUUCUUUUUUUUCUUUCUUUCUUUUUUUUUUUUUUUGGCUGCCCCUUGGCAUAUGGAGUUUCCAAGCUGUAGUUGCAGCCGAUGCCGCAGGUGCGGCAAUGCCGGAUCCUUAACCCACUGUGCUGGGCCAGGGAUUGAACCUGUGUGCCAGUGCUCCCAAGGUGCAGCCGAUCCUGUCGUGUCAUGGUGGGAACUCCAGUAGUAAUCCUUGGAUGUUUCACUACAUGGUUUUUAUUGUCCCAGCCAAAACUAUAUACCUGGCUCUUCUCUUACCUCUUGUGAGCAGUUUCUCAGAGCUAUAUGAGAGGCUGUCUGUUGAUCAGGUUAUGGUCCUCAGUAAGGUCCCUGAAUAAAACAACCUGCAACUUUUAGGUCGUGUGUUUUUCUUUGGUUGACGGUGCAAACAACAGCAGCCCAACAAAAGAAAUGAUGGAAAGGCAGGAAAAUGUUUUGAUUGGCCUACAUAAGAGGAUGCUAGCAAUGACUUCAUGUAUGGCACUACUUAGAAAGUUGGUUUGUACAGGAGUUGUUGAGGUGUUGGUGGAACAUGGUAGAAUCAUUUUCAGUUAGAUUUUGGUUAGGGGUAAAUUUAAAAAUUGCAAAUAAUACUAUAAUCAAAAUAAUGACAGCUGAGACAGAAGUAAAAACAUGUUGGAUCUCAUCCUAAGAAGUCAUUUGUCUUGUAAAAUAACUGUCAGGUGGAUACUGUGGAAUGUUAGGCUUACACAGACUCUAGAAAGAAGAAUGUCUAGAGGUAAAUUUAAAAAGUUGAUGGUUAGAUAAGCUGCCUGAGAUAAGCUUUCAGAGUUUUCUUUCAGUUGGAUUCUGUGACUUGAUCAUAUUGGAAGUAAAUAAUUUUGAGGGAAGAUGUCUAAUUUUUUUUUCAUUUGCCUUUUAUUAAAUUUAGGGAUAAUUUAAAGUGAAGAUAGAAUAAGUGAUUAAAAAGAAAAUUUCCAUUGUCAAUUUAAUUUGAGGGAGCUGUAGAGGAACCAGUCCUUUGCAUUCCCCUCCCACAAAUACUUCGAGUUUUCUGCUAAGUUAUUAGUAGGUACUAAUUUGAAAACUUGUGAGUCUUUCCCUGUUAUGUUGCUGCAGCAGCUUUUAUCUUUCAGAAAGCCUUUUUACUAAAAUGCAAAGGCUGUGCUUAUAUUACAAACUUCGCAGUGUUUUCGUGUGUUAAAAAUGACCUUCACAAGAUGGAUGGAAACUUGCUGAUCAUACCUUUUAUUUAUUGUAAAAGAAAGUCUUUUUCUUCCUUUAAUGUACAAUUGGAAGAUGAAAUGAAUUGAUUUUUUUAAAGAUAAACUUCUUUGAAGGCAUGUUAAUAAAAUUUGGUGCAUCUUUCUUCUGGAGGAAAUAUUGUCAAAAUAGUUGUAUUUUACUCCUCUUUUGAUGUCUGUUGUUUAUGAGGUCGCUUUAAAAUCCUUGAGCAAAUCUUACAGGUUACUUUGAAGUCUUGAAUGCUUGAGAAGAUAAACCAAUGAAUGAACUUAAUCAGUUAAAAAUCUUACUGCUGGCAGCUUGCCUCAUAUCCAGCUUUGAAUGAUGAAUGGAAUUAGGUCUGCACAUCGUUUACGUUGUUAGUGUACAAACACCCUUGGUCUUUAACCAUGGGUUGUUUACGUGGGAGUGUGAUAAUUUUCUACUCACUUCAGAGGAUUGUGGAAAAAGUACUUUAUUGCUAUUUUUAAUCUUUUUAAUAUACAUAAACCAUUUGCUGAAUGCAAAACACCGCUGGGCCCAUAGGGAAUGAUUGGUACGUAGCAUAUCAGUGUGUUUACAGUAGAGUGUGGAAGGUGGACCUGAUUGAGGAAAAAAAGAGGGGCACUGCCAGGGGGAAAUGCUUCCUUUGAGCUGAAAAUAAAGGCAGUCACCAAGUUUCAAACUGAAGCAUUGCUGUUAUGAUGUGACUCUUCUCUUAAAAGACCCAUUUUAGUAGCAUUGUCAGUGGUAGACAUGAACCUGAGAGGAGAACAGGCUGAAGGAUGAGAUUCUUUAAAUCCCAUCCCGUGUUAUGAUUGAUCACUCUGAGCAUUAGUUUGAAAUGCUUACAGAGACAGAGGGUUGAUUUAGAAAUUACUAGAAUGGCUCAGACCAAGAGUUUAAUCUCAGUAUUUGAUUGCCACUAGUGACCUACAUUUAAAAAUAGUUCUGCUGUUAUGGGACAGUGUGAUUUUCAUCUCCAGUAGUUCCUUAAAGGUUAAGUUUUGCCCUGUUUCUUUGAGCAGUGAUUUGUAGUUUUGUCUCAUUUUUUUUUUUCCCAGUACCUUUUGGGUUUAUUUUAUACCUCUGUUUAUUGCAUUUUGAGGCAUUGGUUUUUAUAAUUUUAUUUCAUACUAUAGAAAGUAGAACUUAUGCCUUUUUCUUAUUUAUCUUAUUCAUCAUCAAAGGAUCCUACCAGUUUGAUGGUUUUGGAUUUAAUGAGUUCAAAUCUGUGUAUUAUUUAUGCUUUUAUAGAUUGUUUUUUCCCAACCAUUACCUUUUCUUUUUUAUUUUUUUGUCUUUUGUCUUUGUAGGGCUGUACCCCCAGCAUAUGGAGUUUCCCAGGCUAGGGGUCCAGUCAGAGCUACAGCUGCUGGCCUACACCACAGCCACAGCAACGCUAAAUCCGAGCCGCAUCUGUGACCUACACCACAGCUCAUGGCAACACCAGAUCCUUAACCCACUGAGCAAGGCCAGGGAUUGAACCUGCAACCUCGUGGUUCCUAGCCGGAUUCAUUUCCGCUGUGCCAUGAUGGGAACUCCCCAACCAUUCAUUACCUUUUCUAACUGUCGACUUUCUUUUUUGGAUUCCUUUUAUUUGAUUAUGCCUUAGUUGAAUUUCUUUGACCCUUCAUUAGUUCUUUCACAUUUGGGUGUUUCUCUGUGUGAAAUAUAAAUAGUUCCAUAUAUUCAAUAUUUUGUAAUAACCUAGAAGGGAAAAGAUUCUGAAAAAGGCUAUCUGUAUCUAUCUGUAUACCUAUAUGCAUAUGUAUCUAUGACUGAAUCACUGUGCUGUACACCUGAGACUAACACAUAUUGUAAAUCAGCUAUACUUCAAUAACACACACACACUUCCAACUGGAAUCAGUACUAAAGCGGACUUUAAAUCAGUUUCUGACUCAUGAACCAACUCACCCAAGCUCGAGUUGACUUUGACGUUUAAAAAACUGUGAUCCCUUUGAAGGCAGGGAUUGUAUUUAUCGAUUUAUGACCAGAGACCAAUAUAGUACCUGAUCUUGGUGGGCUGUCAAUAAAGGUUUGUUGAGUAAAUGAAUUCAUGGAAUAUUGUCAAAGGUUUAGUGAAUAUUUAAGUAGAUUAAGAGCUUGAUUUCAUUUUAUUUAUGUAAAUACUGUGAAAUGACUCCCAGUAAAUUAUUCAAGCAUACUAUCUCUUAAAACAUUUAUGACAGUAGCAGUAACUACUCCGAAACACUGGUCUUAAGCCUUUAGAGUACUAUUAUUUGAAAUCAGAAUUAAUGCGUAUCAUCCUUUGCCUGCUUGAACUGUGAGAAUGGUAAAGUAGUGGUGAUAUACUAGGCUGACAAGGAAGCAGUAACUGUUAUCCUCAUCCAUUAAUAGUGGUUUAUAAAAUGGCUAAUCCUUUUAGAAAAUAUUUUAAAAGUAUGGGAACUAUCAAAAUGUCUAUAUUAUUUGACUCAGUAUUAUAAUAUUUAGAGUCUAAUAAAGUAGUCCAAAAUAAGGAACCAGCUAUGUUUAGAAAGAUGUUAAUUGUAGAAUUAUUUAUUCAGUUGAAUUAUAUAGAGUUAAACCUUGAGUAAAUUAAUUAUGCCUCUGCCUCAAUUUUCUUAGCUACAGAAUGGAGAUAAUAGUACCUUUAUGAAAUUAUAUUAGCGUAGUAUCUGGCAUAUAUAAAGCACUCAAAUUUGGCUGCCACCGCUAUUGUGUUUUAUUAUUAUUGACACAUAGGCCUCUCAUUUUCUGGAGGCUUUGUUUUUGGCCAUGGCAUGCAGCAGCUUGAUGUGAGAGUUCCCAGACCAUGGAUCGAACCUGGACUACAGCAGUGGAAGUGCCAAAUCCUAACCACUGGGCCACCAGGAAGCUCGCUCCUGGAGACUUUUAUGUAAUUGUCCUGGGCAUUAUGUUAGGUGCAUGGGAGAAAAGUAAUUAAAAGUUGUGGUUCUUAUUUAUAGGGAACGUAAAAUUCAUUUGGUGGUAGAUAGGUUUAUAAAUUUUAAUUACAGAUCAGUUAUGUGUUAAGUGACACAAGGAAGUUACAAAAUGCUGUGAGAGCUCUAGUACAGGAAAGAUUGCAGAUUACUUUGGAUUUGUAAAGGUGGAGAGGUGACAUUUUCAUCAAGCUUUGAAGGAUAAAUAGAAUUUUUAGAAGUAAAACAAUGAGAGAGGGUAUUUCAUGAGGCAUAGGAGCAAAGACACAGGAGCAGGAAAAUAAAGCAUAGAUGAAGCGAAGUAGAGUUAUGGGAGAUAAGGCUGAGGAGAUGGGAAGGAGUACCCAUGAUGGAAUGGUUUGAAAGCCAAGAUGAAGAGUUUUUAUUUUUUUUACAUGAGACUGGUAAGUGAUGGCUUUUGUAACCUGAUUAGAGCAUGGUUUUAGGAAGAUUGAAUAAUUGCAAAAUGGUUUGCUAGAGGUAGAAGAGAUGGGAAAGUGGGAAGGCUAGUUUUUUCAUUUAUUCAUUCAUCAAAAAACAUUUGUUGCUCACUCAUGCGCCAUGUUUUAUGCUUUGUAUUGAGGAUAGUAAACUUUAUCAUAUUUACUUGAUCUAUGUUAAUGGUAUUUCAGAACAUAGGUUAAUGGAGACUGAAACUAGCGUAGUGUUUGUAGGAACGAAAGGUAGAUUAGAAGUCAAAUGCAUUAUAGAGGUGACAUGUCAGGCUGGUAAUUUUGUGUACGGAAUGAGGGAGAGGUACAAGUUAAAGACAGCUUUUCAGUUUUAAACCUGAAGAACUUGGGGACUUGGUACACUUCUUAUUCCUAAUGCACAUUGGAAAACAAAGAGGGUAAGCUAGUGGGAUAUUUUAUAUUUGAUUUAUUUCAAGUUGCCAAUGGAAAAUUAAAUUAAUUCUCUUUAGGAGGCAGUUAUCAGUGGGGAAUUGGGACUUGGGGAGUCGGGACUAGGGGUGGCCAGGCAUGUUAACAAUAUAGAUUUGUGGAGUUCCUGUCGUGGCUCAGUGGCUAACAAACCCGACUAGCAUCCAUGAGGACAUGCGUUCAAUCCCUGGCCUCACUCAGUUGGUUGGGGAUCUGGCAUUGCUGUGAGCUCUGGUGUAGGUCACAGACGCUGCUUGGAUCCUGCGUUGCUGUGGCUUGUGGUGUAGGCCCGCAGCUACAUCGCAAUUCAACCCCUAGCCUGGGAACCUCCACAUGCCGCAGGUGCGGCCCUCAAAAGACAAAAAAAAAAAAAAAA
rnacentral:lncRNA from 1 species